GCUGGUGCUUUUGGCGGCCUCCUAUUCUUCAGAGCCAAUGUUUAAGAUCAUUUGGCUUCCUUAUGGAGCUAUGUAUAGGUAACUAUACCAUAACACAUUACUAUGUUACGGGGACUCGUGUGAGUGUUGAAUACGGGAAUCUGUUCUACACGGAUAUGUUCAAUUGUUGCUAAGUUUUUCUAAAUUUUUAUGUUUUGGAGGUGCUUGGAGGAUCAUAUUCCCAUGCCCAUGUCUAAAUUUUAGUCAGGCAUGAAUGUCGCACAGUACUUCAAGAAACAUAGACAUGUGAUUCUUUUAAGAUAUUCAAGCAGUGCUUACGUCCCUGUAUGAUUGAUUUACCUACAUAUAUUCCAGCACCAGAACUAGCUCCUUUCUCCAUUGCUCUAGUUUGCGCAUGAUUCCCAAAAAAAUUGAUGCAGAGGAUGGAAUGCAAAGUGGUUUUAAUUUUAUGUCUCAUAAACACAUUCCUCUCUUGUAGGUUAACAACCGAGUUUAAACUUCUCCAUCGUUCCUACUGAGUAAAGCUGAAACAGUUAAAGCUAUUAUGCAUCUUGCCUUAGUGGAUAUUCAUGUAGGCAGUAGACCGUAUUCUUCAGCUUUGAAUCGCAUUGAAUUUUUUAUAGUAGCCUUCUAUCCAAGCAUUAUUAUUUCCGUGCCUUCCAUUUCUGUGAUUUUCUUCUUUCUUUUCUUCCUCCCUUGAAUUCAUAAUUUUUAUGCAUUUUGAUUUUUCAUAGCAGGGAAUCCAGUGACUCGAUGGGUAUCGGUAGCUUUAGGUGGUGGGAUUGGAAUUGGAUCUGCAUACACAGAAUGUUCUCGUAUUUUUGAUGGAUACGAUGCUCCUGCUUCCCAGGAUGGGAAGCAGUGAGUUGAAGUUGUUGAAGUUCCCCUAAGUUUACAGGUUUGAAUUCAGAUUUUUUCAUAAGCUGAUAUUGUUUGUCGUUUCCCCAGCAAUGUCUUUUGAAUUUUAGUACAAACAUUGUUGUUGGUGGGUCAACAAUUGACAUGAUGCACCGGAAAUUUGGCAUGACUCCAGUUGUCUUUUGCUCUGUAAUUCUAUCAUGAGUAAUAACACAAAUUUGGAGAAUGUAAUAAUUCCUUCAGUUGGAGGCUUGAAUUUUGUGUGAU